CCCAGGGCCAUGUAAAGGGUUGCGACACUCCCAUUUGGAAUCCAUUACACGAUUUUUACUUCCAGGUAGUUCCGGGUAGUGGAGCCUUGGGUAGUUCCAAACAUCGCUUCGACGAGGGCGGACCGCAUUCAUACGAAUGGCUGGCUGUCAAGUAUUAUUUGGCGAUGCCCUUUGUGACAUACACACUCAUCUGUAUUUGUUACAUUUCAUGAUCCACAUCAUGCUUCUGCUUCUGCUUCUGCUUCUGCUGGGGACAGCUGCUGGUGCCUGCUGAUAGUGCCCACAGCCAGCAGUCACCAAGUCCAUUUUUAAUUAGCAACAAACAAACAACAAAAAAAAGCCUUUUAUUUCAUAUAUUGAUGGCUGAUCAUUGCCAUCCAUUUUUUGCUGCACAACCAACCAUUACAGGCCACUGAUCUAUAAAAUGUCAGGUGUAAACAAUGAAUCAUGACUACAAUUUCACCAAUUGUUCAAUAAAAAAAUAUGAUUUUCUUUAUCAAAGGGUAAUAAGUUAUUGUUAUACAUUACACAUUGUUGAGGAAAAUAAUAAAAUUUUGUUCAUGUUUUCUAAUCAUUUUGUGUUGCUUGGGUCCAAACUAAAUGAAAAAUUCCUUUAAAAAGGUACAAGUUUGGUUUAGAUUAGAGGCUAUAUUCAAACUUUAGUUAAGUUAUGCAGGAAAUAUUUGUUUAAUGUCAUUUCUUUGUGUUUUAGGUGAAACUAAGUCUAUAAAACAAAAAGAAAAAUGUACACACACAUAAGCAUUAGAAAGUGCAACAGUAAAGAACAUUGGAAAAUAGAAUUUAAAAGUCGGGACCACAAACCCAAACUUUUUGGGGAAAAAAAGUGUUUUUAUAUGUCAAUGCGACAAAACAAACUAGGAACUACCACUUAGAACUUGGGAACAAACUACGUUAUACAUGGUGCUAUUUUCAAUAUAUUAGCACAGGUAAGUGAA